ensembl:lncRNA
GAGGAUGAGAUCUCAGAGUAGCAAGUCUUCACUCUCCCUCUCUGUUGGGCUACAGGGGGAAACGCGUGUGAUCUUUCUGGUGUAAUGGAGACAUGACAUUAAGUGCCAGGACUUCAUCUGUCUUGCCAUCCCCAUAUUUUGCCAGUUCUGCAACCGGAACUCCAGGCUCUGUGGCCCAAGAAGCAUUAUUAGAUGGAAGUGUGCCAUCUCCCCACCCCGGCUCCCAGUGCUGUCUUUGUGGCCAGUGAAGUAAAUGCAUCUUGUGCCUCUUAAGAAAUGUGGGACAGGAGGUCGGGUGGAGCCCUGCCAGCGUGACAGUGGAGCCUUUGCCCUCUGAUGGGAAUGAAGCAGCAAGCCGCCAAGCCACACAACGGAAGCCUGAAAUGAGAUGACUUGGGCAAUUUGCACAAGAGUUUCCUACUUUAAAUAAUUAGAGUCACUAUCCCUGGGGGCAUUUGCUUAUUGGCUGCCUUAACAGUCUUCUUCUUUUUUUUUUUUUAAAGCAAGUCUCUUAAAGAUACUGCUCUUGAUCUUACACGCACUUGCCAAGACUUGUCUUAUUCUUAUAGUACUGAUGUUCUACUGUUCAAAAGUUAGGAAGGAGCUGAUUCUGAGCUGGAAACAAGGGCAGCAGAAGAUAGAGAUAGUAGGCUCAUUUUGUGCAUGAGUCCCAGAGAGAGAGAGUGCCAGCCAUUGCAGGAGGUGGGUUUGAGGGGUUGGAUGUGCAAAAUGAGGUCUAGCUGGCAGCCCCUGGGCAAUCUGCUGACGGUGGGUUGGAAAUGGCAACUGUUGAAAAACACCGCAAACUGAGGUUGUUUCUCAUCUGAAACAUGGCGUCUGCCCUGACUGUAAAUGAUCCCCACAGGGAACUAGGCAAGGGUGUGCUGGUAAACUGGCUCUUUGGAAAGAAAAAAAAGGAGGGUUGGUUUGUAACCUUAGUACAUACUCUGACUCUGGCACAUUUCCAGCUACCACGGUUAACCUGCCUGCCAAAAUCCCGAAUGUUUAACACUCCUCCCUCUGGAACUGGUACCAGAAGCUCCAGCCCGCCACUGGCUAAGAAACAAAUUUCUACUUGCCACUCGCAGGCCAGCUGUGGGUCCACAUGCAAUACUCCCCGCUGCCCCAAAUUAAAAAAAAAAAAAAAGAUUGGUUUCAGUUUUGCCACUUAUUACAUGUGUGCUUCUUGGCAAGGCUUUACUUUUUCCAAACAUAGCUCUCUCCUUUGAAAAACAAGAGUUCAGA